rnacentral:siRNA from 1 species
ACAGCCCGUUUGGUCGCGGGCCAG